AUCCAGUCGGUGCAUAUCGACUACGGCCGGAAUUCGCUUGCUAUCACAGUAUUGAAGAGCUUAGCGAACAUUCGGCACUCUGGAUGUCGUCGGCGCGAUCGAGAGCGCAGUGG
rnacentral:sRNA from 1 species